rnacentral:rRNA from 1 species
UAGGGAAUCUUCCGCAAUGGGCGAAAGCCUGACGGAGCAACGCCGCGUGAGUGAUGAAGGUCUUCGGAUCGUAAAACUCUGUUAUUAGGGAAGAACAAAUGUGUAAGUAACUAUGCACGUCUUGACGGUACCUAAUCAGAAAGCCACGGCUAACUACGUGCCAGCAGCCGCGGUAAUACGUAGGUGGCAAGCGUUAUCCGGAAUUAUUGGGCGUAAGCGCGCGUUGGCGGUUUUUUAAGUCUGAUGUGAAAGCCCACGGCUCAACCGUGGAGGGUCAUUGGAAACUGGAAAACUUGAGUGCAGAAGAGGAAAGUGGAAUUCCAUGUGUAGCAGUGAAAUGCGCAGAGAUAUGGAGGAACACCAGUGGCGAAGGCGACUUUCUGGUCUGUAACUGACGCUGAUGUGCGAAAGCGUGGGGAUCAAACAGG